rnacentral:rRNA from 1 species
UACGGGGGGGGCAAGCGUUGUUCGGAAUUACUGGGCGUAAAGGGUGUGUAGGCGGUUGUUUAAGUUUGGUGUGAAAUCUCCCGGCUCAACUGGGAGGGUGCGCCGAAUACUGAAUGACUAGAGUGCGGGAGAGGAAAGUGGAAUUCCUGGUGUAGCGGUGAAAUGCGUAGAUAUCAGGAGGAACACCGGUGGUGUAGACGGCUUUCUGGACCGUAACUGACGCUGAGACACGAAAGCGUGGGUAGCAAACAGG